GCCAUUCUGAACAACUGCUUCAUCAGAGUGUACUGGCACACGUCCAACACACAAGAGCAGGGACCCAGUCAGGGCUUGAACCCUGAUGGAGCAUGAAGAGAAAGGCCAUGGACCACAGCUCUAGUUUUUACGCACCCCCACACACACACAAACACACAUUCAGAUAAGAUUUCUCACUGAUUAAAUGUUCAUAUGAAAGUUUGUUACGUUUUGGUGGUCAAGUUAUAAUUCAUUGUCAUAAAUCUAAAUGAAGAGUUUGGUUCCAAAAUGAGAUAACUACGUUUUAAUUUUUUUUUCAAAAAUCAUGUUUUAUUAUUGAGCAUUCCAAUUAAUAGAAAUCAAAGUGCAGCUGGUUUGUUUUGAUUUAAGCUAUGAUAACUAAAAAAGUACAGCUAACUAACACAAAUACAUGAUAACAUAAUAAAAGAAGAUUUUUGAAAAAUUAAUGCGUUUUAAAACUCAUUAAUGUUAAUGAGUUUUUAAAAAGCUUUUAUAAUUAAAAUACCUGUUGAUUGCACAUGUAACUGUUGUAUACUUCUUUGUUCCUGGAAUGAUGUUAAUAAACAUGAUGUUGAAAGAGAA